rnacentral:rRNA from 1 species
CUAGACAGCCAUGAUGUUGGCUUAGAAGCAGCCAUCAUUUCAAGGCAGCGUAAUAGCUCACUGGUCGAUUCAGCAUGCGCGGAAGAUGUAACGGGGCUAAACCAUGCACCGAAGCUGCGGCAGCGACGCUUAGGCGUUGUUGGGUAGGGGAGCGUUCUGUAAGCCGUUGAAGGUGGCCUGUGAGGGUUGCUGGAGGUAUCAGAAGUGCGAAUGCUGACAUAAGUAACGAUAAUGCGGGUGAAAAACCCGCACGCCGGAAGACCAAGGGUUCCUGUCCAACGUUAAUCGGGGCAGGGUGAGUCGACCCCUAAGGCGAGGCCGAAAGGCGUAGUCGAUGGGAAACAGGUUAAUAUUCCUGUACUUGGUGUUACUGCGAAGGGGGGACGGAGAAGGCUAGGCUGGCCGGGCGACGGUUGUCCCGGUUCAAGCGUGUAGGGGGGAAGAGUUGGUAAAUCCGCUUUUCUGUAUAACCCUGAGGCGUGAUAACGAGCCACUACGGUGGUGAAGUAGCUGAUGCCCUGCUUCCAGGAAAAGCCUCUAAGCUCCAGGUAACACGAAAUCGUACCCCAAACCGACACAGGUGGUCAGGUAGAGAAUACUCAGGCGCUUGAGAGAACUCGGGUGAAGGAACUAGGCAAAAUGGUGCCGUAACUUCGGGAGAAGGCACGCUGGCGCGUAGGUGAAGAGACUAGCUCUCGGAGCCGAAGCCAGUCGCAGAUACCAGCUGGCUGCAACUGUUUAAUAAAAACACAGCACUGUGCAAACACGAAAGUGGACGUAUACGGUGUGACGCCUGCCCGGUGCCGGAAGGUUAAUUGAUGGGGUCAGCCGCAAGGCGAAGCUCUUGAUCGAAGCCCCGGUAAACGGCGGCCGUAACUAUAACGGUCCUAAGGUAGCGAAAUUCCUUGUCGAGUAAGUUCCGACCUGCACGAAUGGCGUAAUGAUGGCCACGCUGUCUCCACCCGAGACUCAGUGAAAUUGAAAUCGCAGUGAAGAUGCUGUGUACCCGCGGCUAGACGGAAAGACCCCGUGAACCUGUACUACAGCUUGGCACUGAACAUUGAACCUACAUGUGUAGGAUAGGUGGGAGGCUUUGAAGCAGAGACGCUAGUCUUUGUGGAGCCGUCCUUGAAAUACCACCCUUGUAGUGUUGAUGUUCUAACGUUGGUCCCUGAUCGGGAUUACGGACAGUGCCUGGUGGGUAGUUUGACUGGGGCGGUCUCCUCCCAAAGAGUAACGGAGGAGCACGAAGGUGGGCUAAACACGGUUGGACAUCGUGUGGUUAGUGCAAUGGCAUAAGCCCGCUUGACUGCGAGAAUGACAAUUCGAGCAGGUGCGAAAGCAGGUCAUAGUGAUCCGGUGGUUCUGAAUGGAAGGGCCAUCGCUCAACGGAUAAAAGGUACUCCGGGGAUAACAGGCUGAUACCGCCCAAGAGUUCAUAUCGACGGCGGUGUUUGGCACCUCG